rnacentral:lncRNA from 1 species
UUUAGCUUUUUUUUUUUUCUUUCUUUUUUUUUCUGAAUGCCCAAAUUGAAAUUUCAUGUAAAACACAAUGACCAAAAAAGUAUUUAACCCUUCAAUAAAUAUCCUCCAGAAUAAAGAGUACAAAUACAGGCACUAAAUUGCUAAAUUAGAAUUUGACCCAAAAAAAUUUGCUAAAUUAGAAACACAUGGCUAAAUUGGCAAAUAGGGCAAAUAAAGAAAGAAUUUAAUGCUAGUAUAAACGACAGGAAUAAAUUAUGCAUAUAUGCAUUCAUACUUUCAUAUCCGAUGGCACUUUUCUGGAGAGGAAUUGGUUGGGAAGGGGGAAUCCACCGCCACUGUGGUGGGAACCCAUUGGCCUCUACGACAAUACUUGG